UGUGAUUGCACACGGACGCUGUUGUUCUGUUGUCGUGUGGGCCAACAAGUCUUGUGGUGUAUUUUCAUGGAUUCCAAAGUAAAGUAUGCAGUAGCUGGUUCAGAGUGAUUUCUUGUUUUACGAGGCGAAUGUCGGGCUAGAAACCGAAUCAAUAAGCUUCUUAGUUAUUAUGGAUUUCUACCUACAAAAAUACGAACUUUUCACGGCGAUCUAAAUACCCAAUUUGAUAUGUUUCCAGUUUCAUACUUGUUGGAACCGUCCAAAAUAUCUUCGGCCUGUCUACUACGAAAAUAUCUUCGAAAAUAUGUUCGGUCUUCUAAAUACGUCCAUCGACCCUUAGAUAGCACUGCGUGAUGUCAAGGUGAUGCCUGAUGUUUGUCCAAAUUUUUCGGUCUCAUAAGAUUCCAGCAGGCUGUUGGCUUACCCUCGCCGGCCGAGGGGGGUGGGGGUAGGGAAGGCGGUGCCCCCCCCCAUAGGGGUUUUCCCCGAUAGCUCCGAAUACGCUGGCGAUAGAGAGCUGAAACUUGACAUACCUUACCAUUGAUUCAAGCCGGAUCUUUUGACACCAACCGCAUUUUCAGGUCAGGUUAGGUCACUGACCCAUGACGUCAUAAGUGAGCUUCUGCACGGUCUUCAGAUGUCACAACUUCGCAACGCCCUCACUGCCAGAGGAGCUGUCACAGGAAAAUGAAACUUGCAGGAUCCAGUAUCCAUUACAAAUCUCGUAGCUUGUAUAUCUCGGAUUUUUCCUUAAGGUCAUAUGAGUUCAGGUCAUUUUCGUGACCUCAAUGGGAAAAAUGAAAACUUCUAUUCUGGCGCUGGGAACGGUCUCCAACUAUCUCAAGCACACAGAAUCGUGAUUUCAUGCACUCCUUGCAAGGUUAGAUGCGUCACUUUUGCAAUGUUGACCUUGCGUGAUGUCAUUUAUGAUGUUAUUAGAGUCAUAUUAGUUUUUCGUUCAUAACUCCGGAUAAAUUGAGCUAGCGAGUGGGGAAAGCCACCAAUGGACUAAGGAAGACCUGCCGAAUCGAAUGAUAUGCAAUAUGACCGCCAUCGACCAAUUUCAUGACUUGGGGGCGCUGAUCUGACCGUGACCUGAGGUCAAUACCCUAAGUUGACCUCACCCGAACAAAAAGUAUAUCAUUCGAUGCGCCUGAGGAGGCAAACACGAUGCUGCCAAAAUCGCGGCUCUCCGGCUGAUUUUUUGCGAAGUUAUUAACCAAAGACGGAACCGUACCUUGGUGCACUUGACCUGACCUCAGAGGACUGCAUUAUGUCUCUGAGGACUGACUAUCUGUUCACCAUUUUCUUGGAGUAGAUAUGAUAUGCUAGUGCAGCAGAUCUGCAUUGUAUGAUGUUAUGGCCAGCAAUGCUCAACACAAAAAUGUUGAACUUUCUGCUGCAAAUCUAAGCCACCCUGUGGCUGAUGAGCAGCUCUGCACUGGCAAUAUGUUUUCGGCAUUGCCGUCUGGGCUGUGGUUGGCGCCUUAAAAACAAUGGUUACAUGUGAAAUUCCAAAAUUGUGAACCAUUUUGUAGCCUUGCAGAUAUUGCAAUAUUUCUCUUGCCAUCUAAUUGGUUUGAAAUACCUAAGUCUUCAUUGACCUGGGUUUUAUGAGCAAAGUUGGUAAAUGCAUAUUUCAAACUGAGUGCAGCGGUGAGCGAGUAGGAAAAUCCUUUCCUGAUGCGUAGUUACUUGGUAAUGUAGCCCAGGUAAUUGACUCAAGAAAAUGAUCAAUUAUUGUAUCUAUCUUUCAGGUUCAGUUAUAUGUGUAACUCACAAGUGCUCAAAAAGGCUGCAAGAUGCCUAGCUAGCAACUGCUCCAGCCUCCAACCAGUUUGAAGGAAGAAGGGGUGUGUUUGUCCACAGGUUUCCUCAAGACCCAGGUGUGUACAGCGAAAGGACUGGCGCAUUCAGGUGAAGAUGGACUGGUGGCAACAUGUGUCGCUUGCCCCGGUGCAAGCUUGGUCAUGCGGCACACUUCAUGAUGAGGGCUCCUUCGAUUGCACAGACCAGUUUGGCUGUGCUAUGGUGCAGUCCCAUCAGGUCUUUCUUCCCUGCUCACCUGCAGGACCAUUUCAAUAGCUGCCAGAGCAGCGGGGGCUGAAGCAAAGGCUAGAGAAAGCUGCGACUAGGACGUUGGCCUGUUCCAAGCAGUCUCGAAACGCACACAAGAACGGGAAAAUGUCGAUCCGGACAGCACGCCCCAGGGAGCGUCACUCGUCAGAGGCGGUCUCGACGGGCAGGCCGGGCGGUGCCCAGGGAGCAGCGUCUCCCGUCUGUGGCUGCCCCGAUGGGCAGGCCGGGCGGCACUCCGGCAGCAGCUGCAUCCGUCUGUAGCGGCCCCGACAGCAGGCCGGGCGGCACCUUGGGAGCAGUGGCACACGUUUAUGUGUGUGUGUGGGAGGGGGGGGGGGGCGACGGCAGACCAGGCAACAGAGGCAGUCUACAGGGAAUAGCGGCACCCGUCUAUGGUGACCCCGACGGCAGGUCGGACACCGAGGCGGCUCCCAGGGAGCAGCGGCACCCGUCUGUGGCGGCAUCGACGGCAGGACGGGCGGUGCUGAUGUAGUAGCGUCUAGUUUGCUGAUAAACGUUAGCGAUAUAGGCAUUAUCCUAGUCACCAUGCUCAGGCGCGUCGAUGAUAUGCUUGUGCUAGGAUAAGUUCAACCUACAAUUCUGACCUUACGUCACGUUGAUCUAGGAGGGCCGUAUAACUCAUUUCGAUUUUGACGGUCUUCAGUCCAUUGGUGACUGUCCCGACUCGCCAGCUCAAUUUAAUCGAAUGAUUUACCUAAACCUCCGACUCUGGCUUUGUGACGUAAUCUAUGUCGCUAAAGUAAACGGUGCAAAAGUUAAAAAUUGGUUUACAAGAUGUGUAUUAUCUCAUGCGUGCGUUUGCAUAGCCUUCAAUCAUUUCCGGCACCAAAAUAGCAAUUACCACCUUUCCCCAUUGACUUGUGAUGGCGAUGUCACGUGACUGACCUGACCUCAGGUGACCGUCAGGAAAAAUAUUAGAUAUACAAGCUAUAAGUCCUCUGGAGGGUACAAGGUUCUGUUAGUUUGAUCUCCCUGUGAAAGCUCCUCUGGCAGUGGCACUGAAGGCAUUACGAAGUUGCGGCAUGUCAUGACCGCGCGGACGUCAUAGGUCAGUGACCGGGCAUGACCUGAAAGGAUGAUUAGUGUCAUAAGAUCCGGAUUUAAUGAAAGGUCAGUUGUACCAACUUUCAGCUCUCUGAGGCCAGCGUGUACCGAACAAGCACGAGUAAACCGUCUGGGAACAAGGGGUGACUAAUCCCUCGCUGCGGUACGGUACGAUGAUAAAAAAAUUGAUUUCAAAUACAUUUGGUGAGGCUAUAGGCUCUAACUAAUCAGUUCAUAACCAUACUGGCCAUCUGCAGCCUCCCAAUAACUCAAAAAUCGGUUUGGAAAACGGGCUCGAAACCGCUCCAGCCCCAUUCACUUUACGUGUUGUAGCAAAUGCGAGUCUAUGAAGACGGCUGCCCCAACAUGGCCGCCUGACCUACAUGUUCGCUAGUAUGGGGAGCCAAUGGGCGUGUCCUAUCUAGUCUGUAUAUCUAUGGUGGCCACUAUCGGAAUUUUGUUUAUUCGCCGCGCCGCGCCACUUUCGU
rnacentral:lncRNA from 1 species